AGUGAACGCUGGCGGUAGGCCUAACACAUGCAAGUCGAACGGCAGCACAGUAAGAGCUUGCUCUUACGGGUGGCGAGUGGCGGACGGGUGAGGAGUACAUCGGAAUCUACUUUUUCGUGGGGGAUAACGUAGGGAAACUUACGCUAAUACCGCAUACGACCUACGGGUGAAAGCAGGGGAUCUUCGGACCUUGCGCGAUUGAAUGAGCCGAUGUCGGAUUAGCUAGUUGGCGGGGUAAAGGCCCACCAAGGCGACGAUCCGUAGCUGGUCUGAGAGGAUGAUCAGCCGCACUGGAACUGAGACACGGUCCAGACUCCUACGGGAGGCAGCAGUGGGGAAUAUUGGACAAAGGGCGCAAGCCUGAUCCAGCCAUACCGCGUGGGUGAAGAAGGCCUUCGGGUUGUAAAGCCCUUUUGUUGGGAAAGAAAAGCAGCAGGUUAAUACCCCGCUGUUCUGACGGUACCCAAAGAAUAAGCACCGGCUAACUUCGUG
rnacentral:rRNA from 1 species